UACGAAGGGGGCUAGCGUUGCUCGGAAUUACUGGGCGUAAAGCGCACGUAGGCGGCUUUCUAAGUCGGAGGUGAAAUCCUGGAGCUCAACUCCAGAACUGCCUUCGAUACUGGAGAGCUUGAGUCCGGGAGAGGUGAGUGGAACUGCGAGUGUAGAGGUGAAAUUCGUAGGUAUUCGCAAGAACACCAGUGGCGAAGGCGGCUCACUGGCCCGGUACUGACGCUGAGGUGCGAAAGCGUGGGGAGCAAACAGG
rnacentral:rRNA from 1 species